rnacentral:rRNA from 1 species
GAUGAACGCUGGCGGCGUGCUUAACACAUGCAAGUCGAACGGGAAAUAUUUCAUUGAGACUUCGGUGGAUUUGAUCUAUUUCUAGUGGCGGACGGGUGAGUAACGCGUGGGUAACCUGCCUUAUACAGGGGGAUAACAGUCAGAAAUGGCUGCUAAUACCGCAUAAGCGCACAGAGCUGCAUGGCUCAGUGUGAAAAACUCCGGUGGUAUAAGAUGGACCCGCGUUGGAUUAGCUUGUUGGUGGGGUAACGGCCCACCAAGGCGACGAUCCAUAGCCGGCCUGAGAGGGUGAACGGCCACAUUGGGACUGAGACACGGCCCAGACUCCUACGGGAGGCAGCAGUGGGGAAUAUUGCACAAUGGGGGAAACCCUGAUGCAGCGACGCCGCGUGAAGGAAGAAGUAUCUCGGUAUGUAAACUUCUAUCAGCAGGGAAGAUAG